UACUUCACAGAAUCUCGAUCAUGUCUAAAUAAAUAUGAUCGAAUCCUAUGAAGUAGA
rnacentral:pre_miRNA from 1 species